rnacentral:miRNA from 1 species
AAUAGUAUAGCUGGGCAGCUAUACUUGAUUUUUAAAAAAGGACCCACUUAGCGCCAAGGUGCCACCUGUCGAAAACAGUAAAGCUGCCCAGCUAUACUAUU